CAUACUUUGUCCUAGCUAUGCC
rnacentral:siRNA from 1 species